UCCCGUCGUUCGCCGGCGGAUGUAGCCAAGUGGAUCAAGGCAGUGGAUUGUGAAUCCACCAUGCGCGGGUUCAAU
rnacentral:tRNA from 2 species